ACCCUAAGGCUGAGAUUCUGCACAAAAGCUUUGUCUCUCCUGCACACGGGCACCCUAAGGCUGAGCAGCACUCUCUGCCGGGUGACUGCGCCAGCGCCCAGACCACCUGCUGGAGAAAGAAAGCAUGGCACGUUGAAGGUGAGAAAAUGGAGGCUCAGGAAACAGGGUCAUCCAGCCAGUGACCAGUUCAGAUUAGCAAGCAGGUCUCCUGUCCUCCCUGCCACAGCCACAGUUGGAAUCACGGAUCUCAGUUAAAGCCAUCUGGCCCCAAGCACGUGGGCAGCUGGUCAUGGGGUGAAAUGGGAAAUGCCCUAACCUCCCCUUACAAGAGUCUGUGGAAGCAGAGUCCCAGCCUCAGGAACAGAAUCAUUAAAUCCUGCUCAUUUUAAGGGCAGAGGCAGAGAGGGAAGGAAGGCUCUGUCCCUCCUCAUCCACCCAAGACUGGGAUUCUGGGUAGCACUGACUCAGAAGAGGCUUGGAGACCCCCAAGAGCAGGCCCCCGCACUUGCUGGUGGCUGAUUCCCAGCCUGUGGGCAUGGAUUUGGGAGGAAUUACACUGUGCAAAUGAACACGGUUUUUGCAGACUUGUGGGACCUGCCAGCUCUCUCAGUUUAACUAGAUCUCUG
ensembl:lncRNA novel transcript